rnacentral:lncRNA from 11 species
GGGAGGAAGAAUUGAAAAAGGAGAAGAGGAAGUGAAGAGGAAAAGGAAGAAGGAAGGAGAAAAAAGGCAGUGAAAGAGCUGAGCAGGAUUUGCCUUGGAUUUCUCUUUUGCAGGCAAGGAAAGCAGGAAGCAGAGCAGGGAACGGAGGGGAGGGGGAGGAGGAGGAGGAGGAGGGAGCAAACGCAUCCUCCCUGGAGCAUGCCUUUGCUCCCUUCGCUUCCCUCUCCUCCUGCCUCGCACCCAGCAUGGCAGGGACAACACAGGAGAGGAUGAGAAGGAGGGAGAAGGAAAAGAAGAGAAAGAUGCAGUACAGCCUGCAGCAGAAUAAACAAGAAGGGCAUGUGUAACAAUGAAAAAUAAAACGAAAGAGAACAUCAAAGCAGAGUGGAUGAUGAAGAGCUAGUUACACACCAAAGGACUGAAACAAAUGGCCAUUAUUAAUUAGUUUUUGGAUUUGUUAUAGAAACUAUGAAGAAAUUCAACUCAUUUGAGUCUCAAAGAGCAACGCCAAACUGCACAACCA